rnacentral:rRNA from 1 species
GACGAACCGUCCUAACGUUGUUCGGAUUCACUGGGCUUAAAGGGCGCGUAGGCGGCUUGCCAAGUCAGGGGUGAAAUCUUUCGGCUUAACCGGAAAAGUGCUUCUGAUACUGGCGAUCUGGAGUGCGGUAGAGGGUGGCGGAAUUCCCGGUGUAGCAGUGAAAUGCGUAGAUAUCGGGAGGAACAUCCGUGGCGAAGGCGGCCACCUGGACCAGCACUGACACUGAGGCACGAAAGCGUGGGGAGCAAACAGG